CUCUUCCCUCAUAACAAUCUCGUCUGUUAGUUCCUUCUCAUUUCCGUAUCUCUCUUCCCUCUUAGCUUUUGGAUUUUAUCUUCAACCUCCUUCACAAUAUUCUCAUACAUAACCUGAGCCCUUUGAACCCAAACCUCUAACUCCACUCUUAUUUCUAAUCACAUCCGAAAUGCGAAAAAAAAAAAAAAAUCUUCGGCGCAUCUGAAUUAUACCCAGUUGGAGUUGUGGAAUCCGAGCUGAAAAAGCCGCCUCCAGUCUCUUCGGCGCUUGCCUCACCUCAGAGAGAAGCUCCAAAUUUCGUGGAAAAGAUGAGUGUUGCCACAAAGUAUCUAAAAGCAGUGCUGCAGUGGCAUUUUCCUUGGAGACUGUCCAAAACAAUUGAGUUCCAUGUUCCUGCCAUUUGGCAAGCGGAUCACCAUCCUUUUCAAGAACUCCUUGGAGUUUUGAUUCAAAUUGAGCUACUCUAUCUUAGUUGAUAAGAUUGUUGGAAGAGUCAAGAGCUUGACUUGUAAGCCCUUUUCUAUGCUGGCAGGCUUCAAGCUGGUAAACUCUAUCCUAUUUUCUAUCCAGGUUUACUCGUCUUCUCUCUUCGUUCUUCCUAUGGGAGUUAUCAAGCAAGUGAUACAUGAUUUUGGGGGGUGGGGCCGUGUAUUCAAGCUUCACUCCCUAAGGGUGAGUCCGAAAGGCUCUACCAUGGUAGGUUUCACAUCAUCAAAAAAAUCUUUGUGGAUUGAAGGAAAUGCAAAACUGUAUGUGAGGUUUUUUAAUAAUGAACUUUUGCAACAUUUUCCUUACCACCAAAGUCUUUGAAGUAAUUUCUGCUAGCUAUUAACAGUGUGUUGUGUCAUUAGUUGUUUGCGCACAUCUUCUCAGGCUGAAUGUCUAUCAGAAAAGCUUUAGAGUCUUUCAAUAUGCUGUUAUUUAGAGUCUUUGGACAAAGCAAUGAUUAAAUUUAUCCCUCUCAUAGCAUAUUUAGUGAUGAUUACAAUGCAAGCAUUCAGUGUUUCCAGGUAAAUUACAAGCUUUUCAUUGGAUAUGGACAUUUGUAUAUGAAGAAUUAUUGUUCUCAGAGUGGUUGUUAGUGAGCAUUUUAAAUUAUUGAAAGGGAAUAAUUUCUUGCAUGUGAGCUUCAAAAGCUAUGAUCUUUGUUCAGUCUUUUUUUAUUUUUUUCUUUUUCUGCUUAAAGACUUAUGUUUGAUUUUGUGUUUUUGCUCAUUUUGUGUUGCAGGUAUUUAGGCCUAUUCUGAAUAUCUCCGUGGAGUUCUCUAUGGAGGAAAUCGAGACUACUUUGAUUAUAGGGAAUGAUACUUUGAGUGACAUACAUAUACCUCUUUUUUUUUUCUUUUUUUUUUUUCAGAGUUUAAACUUCUCUAAAGCUUUUUUUUUUUUAGCCUUUUCUGUUAAUAAACGUUCACUUCAUUUUAAAUGUGUUUUUAUGGUGGUUGUACAUUGUGCAAUGCUUGGCUGUUAAAAUCUUGGUUAUGCAUUCUUUGAGUGUGUGGUAGUAUUUACUGAGGUGGCAAUGAUGCUAUUUUAA